UCGCAGGUGUUUCGAUUCAGAUUUUUUUAGCAGCAUUUGAUAAGUAUACUUUGAAAAUAGUCUUAUCUAUCUUCUUAUUCCUUUUGUUUUAAUUUAUUGAAUUAUAAUCUCAUGAAAAUUGUUAAUAUUAUUACAAGAGAUUUGAUUGUAUAUUCUUUUACAAGUUUACUCAUUUAAAGAUCAUUUGGUAGAAUAUAAGGCAACAUGUUCUUAUUUUG
rnacentral:lncRNA from 1 species